UGUGGGGAAAGCAUGGCUGUGAGUUAUGAACAGCAUCUGAAACCGAAGAUUCUGGAGCACGGAAUUCUGAUAGUUUUUAGGACAGCCAUCAUUUGGACAUCACUGGAAUAAUAUCCAUGAAAAUUUAUGAGCUUAUACUGCAUACUGCCUAAACCAACAAUCUACUAUUAAUUCUGCCGUCAUUAGCUCAAGACAUGACAUCCCCACCUGAAGGCAUUAGAGGGGGGAAAGUGACAGUAGGCCUCAAGAUGGCCCUCCCAAGCCACUUCCAUAUGGGAUGCCUGAGGAGUGUUGUGCUAUCAAAAUCCCUAUUCUGCAGUCUUCGGGCUUCCUCACAGAAAGAAUGAACUUACCAUUACAUUAUUAACUUCUAGUAUGGCACAGUACUUAAGAGAUUGCAUUCUGAAUCAGAGAGGCCUGAGCUAAAAUCCUGGGCUCCACCAGUUAGCAGCUGUGUGUCCUUGAGUAAGUCAACUAACUCCACGUUUCAAUGACCUCUUCUAGAGCAUGAAGAUAAAAAUAGAGCCAAUCUCACUUACUGUUUUUGAGAGGAUUAGAUGUAUAAUACAUCUAAAUGCUGGUUACUUUUAUAUUAUGCUUAAAUUCUUCACUUUGAAUGAAGCCAUCACAUAUCAAAUUUAAAUAUCCUUAGUGCUUACAGAAGACUGACCUUUCUCAUCUUCUCAUAUUAAAAAAAGGUCAAAGUCAGUCUACAAGUCUUUAAAAUUCUUUACAUAAUCGAUUAAAAAAAAGGAGUCCCCCACCCCAAUCUACAGCCUGAAAAUAAAGCCUCCAAAAUGAAAGCCGCUGGAAAUGUUUUGACAUAAGCAGGAUGUAGGAAAAGCGUGUUUCAUUAUCACAUAACUCACAGGAUCCACCUACGCUUCUUGAAACUGGAACAAUUUUUAGAGAAAAUGUUGAUUCUAUAGUUUAAAUUUAGGUUGUUCCGCUACCCAACCCCCUGUUGAAAAUUCUUGAGCUUAUCUACACAAAGCCUGAACUUGGUGCUCCAAAGCUUAGUGGAGGGAAGAGGGCCCUCAUUCCAAACACCCCCCACCCCUCAGACUGCCUCCCACAACUACAGCUUAGGAACGGCCAAAAUGUAGUCAGGAGCACUAUUUGUAAAAAGGAUGGUAUGUGGUACUAUUAUUGUUAUUCGGUCCCUCUCCCUUACCCAUUUCUAAUUCGUAGAAGUAUAUUCCCAGCUACUAAAGUGAUCACCAGGAACUCUGUGUCUAGAUUAUAAUUUUAGUGUGCUAAAAUGAAAAUAAAAGAAAAUCAAAAAGUAUUCAUGUUAGACCAGGCACAGUGGCUCCCACCUGUAAUUCUAGAGCUCUGGGAGGAUGCAGCAGGUGGAUUGCUUGAGCUCAGGAGUUCAAGACCAUCCUGAGCAAGAGGGAGAGACCCUGUCUCGUACUAAAAAUAGAAAAAUCAGCCAGGUGUUGCAGUAAGUGUCUCUAUAGUCCCAACUACUUGGGAGACUGAAGCAAGAGGAUCGCUUGAGUCUAGGAGUUUGAGGUUGCGGCGAGCUUUGACUCAGUAGAGCCUUGAUACUCAGGGUGACAGAGUGAGCCUUUGUCUCAAAAAAAAAAAAAAAAAAAGAGUAUGCAUGUUUCAGUCAUAACUAAAAUAGUAGCAAAUAAAAUGUAAUAUUCACUUGAAUUUGAAAAUACUUUUUCUUAAUACUCCGAAGAGAAAUCCUUCUUCAAACUCACUGGUGUCGCCCUCAUGUCGAGACUCUUUUAGUAUUUCCACUGUUUAACUUCUGUGGUUGCCUGUACAGUGUUACAGGACUAUUAACUUCUUCCAGAGAGUGGGUUCUUUAGUUUCUAUCUUAUCUGUUAAGAACGAACCAAGUCUAAAGAUAGUCAACAUUCUUGACAUUCUCUCCAUGAUGGAGCAACCACACUGGUAAGUGCCCUUCAAGCAUAGCUCUUGGUGCCAGAGUUAAAAUGAAAAAUAAUCACACACACGAAAAGCAAACCAACAAAUAAAACAAAAGGAAAAGACAGAAAAGGAGCUUCCACCAGAGAAGCACCAUAGUCUCAAGUUGCACUUCUUUCAUACGUUUAACGGGAACAACACUUAAACUCAAUUUUAAAAACAUGAACUAAGGAGCUCUAAAAAGACUUAUGUGGCCAGUUUGUAUUGAUUUUUAAAAUACAGUUUAUAAAUUCUUUUUAAGCAAGUUGAGUAUCAUUAAAAUAUUUAAAUAAAUGAAAAAUCAAGAGUUAAACCCCUCACCCUCACCAUCUGCAUGCUUUGAUUAUGUGCAGACUUCCCAUAUUUUCCACUCCAAAAGAAAUGACUGGGGCAGCCAGGCCUUGGAUGUGGCCUUAUUUAUAAAAUAAAUGUCUUGUCCACAGCUUUGCAGCCAUCAGAUGGUAAAGUUCGCUGGGAAUGAAUGUAGCUUCCCUAAUAACUCUCCCUUUCUUCAUCCCGUCAUGUUAUAGAAGGCAUCGUUUUAAAUGAGGCAUGGAAGUCUUAAAAGACAUGGAAAAGUAUUAAUAGGUGAAACUGAUUUUUCUUCAAAACUUUAAUUUUUUCACUUGACAAUGUUUGUCCAAAAGAACCAGGCAGCUUAUACAUUUUGAUAUAAGACAUUUAAUAUCAGCUUAUCCUGGUGGGAACAAAAUAUGACUUAAGUCCCUAUCAGUCUCAGCUACCAUGGUUUCAAAGCUGAAAAAGUUGAUGGUGAUGGAAAAAGUCCAUGGGGGUGGGGAAAAUGGGUUAAGACAACAUUUGCUUUUGGAUUUCUUUUAAAAGCAUUUAGGAAAAGGGUCAUGAGAAGGGGAAAUGAAGCUUCCUCAGUCAGCCUCAGUGACCUUCCUGGUUUGGGCAAUGGCCACAUCAAUUCCUACCCUUCCAAUUAGAAAAUCCCAAUUAUUUCCCACUCCCAGGAGUGAGCACCAUGCAAUGCCACCCCUGGAGCAUCGAUAACAAAGGUACAAUGGGGGGCCUCAACAGGUUACGCCACUUUCAGAAAGACCACUUGUGAAAUGACGUGAGUUGGGCGACAGGUUUCUCUUUUUCUUUCCACUCUAAUUUAGGAACUGGAAAGUCAUGACAAGGGCAGGGCGUGCCCACUGCGACACAGUGUAAGACAGUGUCAGGAUUUCACCUUGUGCUUCACAGGGAUUCCAUUCUCUCCAUGAGCAACUACGAAUUUUGCUACUAUUUUAUCUGAGCAGCAGAAGAUGGUGCCCAAGAGGUGAGAAAAUCCUUGACAGCAGGAACCAGGGUUAAAACAUGUAAUAAGACUCACUCAUUUAAAAGCAUAUACUGAAUCUCACAAUGAGAGAGAGACACCCCUAAGAUUUACUAGAGCUGAAGAUGCUCCUUCGAUAGUAAUUAACUGUUUAGAGAGGUCUGAGGAGGGACAGAUAUGACAUCCCAAAAUAAGUAGGAAAAAAAAAAAGAACCAAGUCUUGCUUUAGGAAAGAAGGUUCCAUCCCGGAGGUACAUUGCUUGAGGUCUGCACAAGCUGAAGCCGAGGGUCUUCAUACCCAUCCUAACCACUAACCUCUAAUGGACAAGGUUCAAAGGCUUUCUCAACUGUGCAUUACGGAUAUUCUGGCCAGAGUUCCCACCCCGUCAUCGCACAUUGUCCUGUGGCCAGGAGGGACCUCAGAAAACCUCAGAAUUCUGAAAUUCUUCCUGAAAAAGUCUAGAGGUUAUGAAUUUGAGAUUCCUACUCCUUUUAGGCAGGUCUGUUGAUGGCGCUUUUAACAGCUCCAAGGCAUUCUAGUGUUACCGUAUGUCAGCUACAUGACCUUGAACAUUCAGCCCCGUUCCUUAUCCCUUGAGUGGCAAUUAUACUUGAUCUAACUAAUAAAGAACCUUAGAGAAGGCAUUUUGAUAUCUGAUUAGUCAAGGAACCAUCAAAUCUGAAAACAAAACACCUAAAAACCAUACUAUUUUCAAAACCCACAAACAAAAAGCUUUUUUUUUUUUUUUUGUAGAGACAAAGUCUCACUUUAUGGCCCUCGGUAGAGUGCCAUGGCAUCACACAGCUCACAGCAACCUCCAACUCCUGGGCUUAAGUGAUUCUCUUGCCUCAGCCUCCCGAGUAGCUGGGACUACAGGCGUCCGCCACAACGCCCAGCUAUUUUUUGGUUGCAGUUCAGCCGGGGCCGGGUUUGAACCCGCCACCCUCAGUAUAUGGGGCCGGCGCCUUUACGGACUGAGCCACAGGUUCCGCCCAACAAAAAGCUUUUGAUUAGCAAAAAAGGCCAUAAGUAUGGCAAAAAUAACUGCCCCAAAUGCAGAAGAUUAUAUGCAGAAAAGGCACCUCUGGACUCAACUUGGCAGGUCUUGCUCACAAGCUUUGCAGCUAUCAAUGUAAAGGUGGGCAGGAAUCUCCGAUUCCCUAACAAGUCCCUGUUCCUCAUCACUUCAUGUGACACAAGGCAUAGUUUUAAAUGGCUGCCCAGAGGUCCUGUAGUCUGGGCUAUCCUUAAUGUCAAAGGCAAAGGGAGGUACUUUCUAAUUUUCCUAGAUUAUAUAUUAAAUCAAACAAAACUGUGCGUGUAAGGAUAUUCUACAAGGUGCUACAUGAAGGUUAUGAUUAUAAUUUGGUUUUGAUUAACAUACACCUUACUGCCAUUUUUAAUUUCCUAUGAAAACUCUUCACAUCUUAACGGAAAAAAGUUUAUUUGGAGUUACUGUUCAUUUCAUUUUAUUAAUAAUAGUCAAAAAAAUGAUCAAGCCCAGUUCAUUAUAGCUCCAUUUGCUCCUAAAUGACUAAGUGGUUUAGUUAGACAUACAAGGACUUUUAUAACCAGGGAUCUGAAGGCUAAGAGACGCUGGUAGGGCUGAGAGAGGACACACACUCACGGCUAUGCUCCGGCCUCGAGGCAACACUCCAUGCAGGAGCAGGUCUCUGCAGAGGAGGUGACCCUGAGGGACCACCAUUUGCCUUCUUUCACUCACCCUAAUAUGCAUUCUGGAGACUAUAACCCUGCAAGGCCAGAGCAGUAGAUACCUCUGUGCGCCCAGUUCGUAUCUCCACACUUGGGUGGCAGCCCAUCAGCUAGCAGGGUACAAAGAGAACUAGCCGGCAGGCUCCCUCCCCAGGUGCAGAAGGAACACAAGUAACCUUCCCUCCAAUCUGCCUGCAUGUUAAUUCUUAAUGAACAUGCCAGCCUACCUACCUGCAAUAGCUAGUAUAUAUCUAUGACCAUUCAAAACUUACAAUUUUAAAAUGUGUAAAAGAACCAACACCCUUUAGAUUUGCCCUCUCUUAAAAAAAUGUACUUUGUCCAAUGACAAACAGAUAAAAAAGUUUAGUUUUUCGAAUAGGAUACUUUACAUUAGGUUCCUGGGUUAUGAAGAAUUAAAAUUUUCUGCUUAUUUCUUAAUUCUCUCUGCUUGGUAUCCUCCUUAGCCUGUCUUUUUUGUUUGUUUUUUUUCCAUUUGGUUAGAUCACUCUGGCUCGAGAGACAACAGAUUAAUAACCACACGAAUGUUACAAGGGAACCAAAUCAACUCUCACUGAAGUCCUGAGCAUUCUGAAGCUGAGGCUCGGAAGCAAAAUGACUGCCAGGCUGAAGAGGAUCAAAGCUCCCAAAGCCCUAGAGAAAUGUCACAAGUUGAAAUAACAAUAACAAUAAUAAUAAAUGGUGCCAUGGAAGCAUCACACAGAGGAUUAAGGGUAGGGAACCCCACAAAUAGAGAUAAGGAGAUAAACACCCAACUGCUUUAGGGCUCUGCUCUCACCUUGAGAUCAGGUCAGAAGGAGAAGUCAAACCCCAGAACUCACUAAUCCACCAAGCCUGAGAAUCAGGAGUCCCAAAGACAAAGCCCAAGCCGCCCUGAACCAACUUGUCACAUCACCAAAAUAGCCAGCAGCUGUCACUGAAUGGGUCUGAUAGAACCAGAUAAAGAAAUAAUGUUCAGACGUAUUUCACUGUGAAGUCACACACACACACCAAAAAACCCUAAGGCGUGAGGUCUAUGGGUCAGAAAUCCCUUUGCUGGGGACCCACAUGAAACCAAACCAGAGAGAAAAGUAAAGGGUAAGGCACCUCACUAACAGAAUCUGCUAAUCUAAACAUCAAAUACAUGUGAAGAACUUCUUGUGGAUUCCUGACAACAGAUUUCAGCACAGCUAAUGAGGUGAGUCAUAUGCAAAGAACAGUCUCUGACUCUUGCCAAAGAACACACUUCCUCUCAUACACUCAAUUCAUAGCAAUGUGAGAAAGUUCAGACCUGACUCGGUUACAUACCCUUUUCUAAAAAUAUAUAAAUGAAGGAGAGUUUUUAAAAUGAGUUAGUAGAUUCUAAAGUCCUCUCUACUUUACAUUAUCACUUACUGGACAUGUAUUGUUCAACAUAAUUUAGAACUGGGCAGCUCUGGCAGGGAUGGGAAACAUUCUGCCCAGUGUUUUGCUGUCCAAACCCAGCCACUCUGAUUACUGUGAGCCCAUCUGAUCUGACACUCUUGUUUCUUCUUCGGGCCUGCGGGCUGGCAGGGAGCCCUGGGCAUCUAGCAGAAGGCAGCACAGCACAAAUAUUCAAGCUCCUUCUUGUCACCUAAGGUUGAAAAGUCCAUUCUGGUUUGCAAGAUUUAAAAAAUGUAUACAUGAUUAUCAACCACGACAAAGUCCUUUACCUGGAAAGUGAAAGCAGAGAAAAAUUCUAAAAUGCUAUUAAAUAGAUUUGCUUCUUGAGCAAACGUAACAGUUGUCAGCAGUAUCAAUUACUGGACACUUCCACUUGGCUUUCCUAUGAAGGGCAAUUUUAACAAUCUGUAAUUUUACAAUCUGUAAUGUGUUUUUCAGGAUAGAAGAAAAACUGUUCCCUAGUUUUUAAAAGGGUUUAUCGAUGAACAGCAAACUCAGUUUGCAAGGAUUUGAUCUUCUCUCCGCUUUAAUUACUGUACCUUUGUAAGCCCCAACCACAGCCACCAAUUAGGUGGCCCCUGCAGAACGCCGCACAAACAGAACAUGGAUUAGCCACUCGCUCCUCAGCGUGAGCAUCCUACCCAGGGCCAGGUGACAAACUGAAGCUUCCAGGCUUUUUUAAUUCUUUUUAAAUCUGUUUAAGUGAAGACUCUGAUUUUAUUUACUUUCCCAAAUAGAAUCCUUCAACGCUAUUUGACUUAAAGCCUUUCUCAUCCUUAAGUUUAGACAUAAUUUAAUGAACAGAGCCUGACUAGAACGGAAAGUCACAUCUUUUCAUUUAUUGCUAAAAUAAUCAGAAAACAAUGAUUUUGAAGGGGACUAGAAAGGAGAUGGGCAGAUGCCAAGUCCAAUGUGCUUUUAACAUGUUGAAUUCACUAUUAUUUUUAAAUGCAAUUUAGAGAUAACACUCCUAGGAAUCUGUGUAUUGUAAGUGUUAGCCCUCGUCUGGAUAAACAUCGCCCUGAAUUUUUUUCUUGUGGUUGGUUUUUGGGCUCUUUGGUUUAGUUCUCUCUCUCUCUGUCUCCUGGAUUUAUGAUGCAGGCCUACCUCUUUCCUACCCUCCUACCCAGAGGUGAGUCACUAUAGUGUUACAAACUUACUGGGAAAGAACACUACAAAUUAACCAACAGCAAGUUACCCAGAGGGGAUACACCCACGGAAGAGGGUACAGAAAGAACCAAGAGGCAGGUGAUUGUUACACUCUAAGGCAGGCACAGGGCCAGGCAACCGUGAGGCGGCUUCUCUGCCCCCCAGUGGUGGGUGCUAGUUCCUCCUGUAGCUAUUCCAUUUGCCCAUGGCCAGGCCCGGGCAAUUUUCCACUCUGAGAACUCUGCCUUACAAUCUUUUAGGUCUAAAGUACUAGCUUUAUAGCAGCCAGAGGAUAUUUAGUCACACUUUCAAGUUGAGCUCCAAAAGGGCAGCUGAUAACGUUACCCUACAACUGGGAUUUCUGCUGACCUGUGUAUCCCUUGUGCAACCUUCACCUGAACCUUUUUUCCCUAACCCUCUUUAAAUCACUUUUCUCAUAAGCUAUGAUUUUUUUUUACUAGGUAACUAAGUUUAACGUUAAACCAAAUCUGGAACUAUAGUGAAAGAUUGGGUGAGACCCUCUCACUUUCAUCUUUCAGUAUAAACUUAAGAAAACAGAAAGUUUCUUGCCUUUCUAAACAGUUACGGUGUAUACCGUUGGUGAAAUAAGCAAUCGUGGGCGGUAGGCCUAGCUGAAGAUUUAUGCCCCAAGUCACCAGGCAAAAAUACUCAGUAAGAAAAAGCAGGACAAAAUCCCGUUUCAUCCAGGAAUGAUUCAGCAAGAGCUGUUCUUUCAUUUUCUUACAAUGCUUAGGAACUAGACUUUUAAGGACAUAGAAAAUCACCUGAAACAUCAUCAAAACCUAGGCCACAAAUGGUACUAAGAAGGGAAGAAAUUAACAAUGACCUUAAAAAAAGCUGCCGGCACAGGCUUCCUGGUUAACCAAUUAUCAGCAGGGCUUUAGUCACCACUCCACCCACAUUUUAAUCCCCCUGUGGAAAAAUCCCAACAUUUGAGCAUGAAAUAUUCUUCUGAACAUUUUGGACUAUCACAGUAAGUCACUGAGGUAGACAAUACAGGCACACACCCAUGCAAUGUAAUGUUCAAUGCAUCAGAGCACUCAAAAUAACCAGCAGACAAGUACUAUACCAUCCUGUGCUAACCAGCUGUAAAUUCAUCUUGUGUUUGCUAACUACUAGAUACUUUUAGGACCUGUGAGAUGUCUGGGUUGAACCUUUAGGAACUAUUCAGGUGCGUUACUAUUGUACCACUGCUGUGCAUAGGUAUCUGUGGUUCUAAUAGAGAUAUCUAGAUGUACGCACAUAGCUUAGUUACCCAGUAUCUCCAGCGCCUAUUAAUUCAACAUUGCAAAUGCCCCAGUUUCAACCCAAGAGUAACUUCACAGCUCAGUAUACAAGGUUAACAUUAAACAUUCAGGCUCAGGAGACCACAAGCUGUUCAGGAAAUCAGGGAUGGCUGGUUUGUCACCUGCCAAUCAUUUGACCUUGAGCAAGUCACUUCACCUUCCCAGGCCUCAGGUAUACAUCUAUGAUCUCUCUUUCACCCCAAAUCAGUAAUAUCUCUGCUCAGGAAAUAAACUGUGUUUUUUGUUUCUUUUUUUUUGGGGGGGGGGCGGGGGCGGUUAAGAGAAAAAAGAUUCAGCUUAAAAGAGCUCGUUUAUGGGAAUGACCCAGGGUUUCAUGGUGGUGUACAAGCACAGGCCACUACCCUGGUCUCCCACAUCUGGCUCUCAGCUCUUUGCUUUGAAGCUUUUCACUGCAACCAGCCCUCCUCAGCCCAUGUUUUCAAAGGCCAUACAAGUUGUGUGUUCUCACUUGUCCCUAUUCUCUCCAUCAGGUCCAAGCCUUUCAAUUACCUCCUUCAAAACCCAUUUAGAGUCCCAAAAGAACGCAGCCUGUCUCUGCUGCUGCCAUCACUCUGUCCCCACCAGGAGCCUUAGGACCUCCAAAGUGCUGCAGGGUGUUCACACUGCGCUAAGCCCUGGAGAUGACGGAGUGGACUCGCUCCACCUGUCUGCUCAUGACCUGGUCAUUUUCAUCCCAUGAAUUUUUUUGGUUAUUUUGUGUAAAUUUUUCUCAACUAGACUUUGGCUCCGUUGGGGUCCGGGACCCAGCCUCCUGCAGUGGCUAUAGGUACUCAGAGCUUCACUACAGAAGCCUAAGAACAAGGCAUCUUCUCGGUAUCCCUACAGCGCUCCGCGCCACUCUCCUGCCCGGAGACCCCUCGUUUCCUUCGGGGACCGCUCUAUGGUGAGUCCGGGCGCUGGAAAUCAGCAGGACAUUUCCUACACCCGAGGAUCGUCCACAGCCUCCAGUCCUCUUUCGGGGUUAUUGUACCCAGAGGCCCUAACGGGUCUGUCCUCCUUUCACGUUCGUCCCUCCAAAAAUCCUGCACGCUCCUCCCCACCGUCAAGAUGACAAUUCCCGUGGCGACAGGCGCUUCGAGCGUUUACGGGAAGAGGCCCACGAAAGCUCUCGAAAGUAUACCUUAAAGGCCAUCUUAGGGCGGCGAAGGCACACCCUUUCUGGCACCAGCCUGCUGGGCCGGCUCCGCAGUAAGGGGAAGCCAGUUUUUGCUUUAGGGGAGGGCGGCCGUCUCUGCGGGGAGCCGAUUAAGUCCCGGCGCCUCCGGGAGAAGCGGCCUCGACCCGGAGGCUGCCCCCGCCGGCGCCGGGGCCGGGGCCGCGGCGGGAACGGCAGCCCGUGGCGGCCUCGGCGGGAACGGCAGCCCGGGAGGGGCCCCGGCGGAGCGCCCCAGGGGAAGGGGAGGAGCGCGCCUUUCCUCCGGCUCGGAGGGAGGAGGCAAAAAGGAAGGAGAAGGAAGAUAAGUGUGUUUUGGGAGUGGAGACUGCAAGAUUAGCUAGGGUGGAGCAGGGAGAAAACAACUACCUUCCCUUCAGCCUGCCCAGGAAGCCUAAGGGAAGAGGGGGUGUUUCCGGAGAUGUUGGAACAAUGGGAGAAGGAUGCUUGGCAGAGGGCAGGGGCAGAGAACCAGCCAGGUGGCCAUCAGCUCCCAAGAGAGAUUACAGCAUCCUGGAUCCCGAUAGAUGUUAGAAGAUGAAAACACAAAGAAAUAAAAAUCUGAGGUAUACCUCUUCAGAUCUACUUUUUUAUUAAACCCCUAUGCCUUGGAACGAACACAGCAGACUCUCAGAGCCUUGAGAUACCCGUAAUUAAACUGUGUCCCUCUACACAGUGGAGAUGAGCAGUUCUUUAGGAGAUCUGUGGGUUGAGGCCUACGGGGUGGGCUCCACACGUGUGAUCCAGGAGAGUAGUGAGCUUCUGGCUGUGACUCUCACCUGCCAGCCUAGCCCCAAACAGUUCUGAAAGUCACCACAUUUCUCUCAACAGGAGCCAAGACAGAAUGUUGGAAAGAGGCAUGCGGGCUAAUUUGCAAUAUUUCAGCAUCAGGGAAGAUAUAAAUGCGGCAUUUUCUGAGUUGCAACAUGCUCUGACUCAGCUCUUUGCUAGUGUGGAUUUGUAUUCACCUGUUAUUAAUUUUGUCUCUGCCUCACCCUGGGCAUUGAAGGGUUUGGGACUUCUGCCAAAACACCUAGAUAAGAGUUUUCCUGCCAAGAAACCAUCGUGUGUAUAAACAGUACCACCACCCAAACACAAAGGGGCCAGCCACACUUACGUGUUUGAGAAAUCACUUGCCCCUCAGAGAACUUUACUGUCAGCUGAGAAAGUGGACCACGGUCAGUCCCUCUGUGACCAUGUAGCUCCCCUGGUUCCAUGUCCUCAGGCUGCUCAGCCCUGACGCCAGCCAGACUUAUGCAGUCAGUCUUCAAGCGAAUAUGGGAGAGAAGAGCAUGGAGAAGAAUCAUUAUUUUUUUUGCUACUGGAAAAGCCCCUGCACAUGUCCAGCCAGUGAAAUCUUCCCUCUGUAUUCACCAUCUUAAAGAUCACCGCGUGUGAACUGGCUGGCUCGGAGCUUCCUACAAGUUUGAGCUGCUCAAUAAUCGUCUCUGAAUUUGCCCUUCCUGCUGCUUCUACAGAGAGUUCACGUGCAGUGGCGGGCUCCUCAUUCUAUAGCAUCUGCACUUCAUGUCUGUACCUCUCUCAUCAAGGACCACUCAGAGCUGUCACUACCCGGGUGCAUGCAUUCGGUAGUUCUGUGCACCAGGCUCUGUGCUUUCCACAUACUGUGUAAUUUCAUCCUGCGUCUCUCACACACACACACACACACACACACACACACACACACACUAACCCUAAAUGGCCAGCAUUAUUGCUGUUGUACAGAUAAGACCUGGGAGACACAAGAGUCUAAGUAAUUUGCCUGAGGUCACCUGACUUGCAGAUGGUGGAGGAAGGAGUUAAGGCCACAUCGGCGGCCCUGAAUCCCACACCGGUAUCCUGUCUGUUUCUACAUCUCCCCCAAACAGAGGUCUCUGUGUCUCUCUGCCAAGCGAGAAAACGCCUCAUCCAUUCAUUAAAUGUUUGCUGAUCAUCUGCUGUGGUACAGGCAAUAUCUUAGCUCAGGAAUUGUUGAAUUUUUCUCUAUCAAAGACCAGACAAUAAAUAUUUUCACUUUCAUGGACCAUGUGGUCAGUCACUACUCAGCUCUGCUGUCGUAGUGUGAAAUCUCAACAGCAUCCAUGGCUAAUCUGUAAAUUAAUGAACUUGACUAUGUUCCAAUAAAGUGUCAUUUCCAAAAGGAGGCCGUGAGCUGGGUUUGGCCCAUGAGCUGAACCCUUCUGCUCUAGGCACUGGGGUCAUGAUAGAAGGAAAAAAAAAAAUCCACAAAAAUGCUUGCCCUUGUGGAGCUUAUACCAGAAAGGAGAAACAAUUAUAUUUCUUGGUUUAUCCCAUAAAAACUGUCAUAAAACCUAGGAGUUGCUGAGCACUCCGGAAGUGCAAAUCAGGGUCAGUCCUCUUGUAGCUCUCUUGGCUGGAGGGUGUUUGUUCUGUGUGAACAGAUCCCGUGUCACCCCACCCCGGAGGACCCACCUUUCCUUCUCUGCCUUCUUAUUGGUUUGACUCUGUCAUCCAGCUCUGUACUGAGGGCAGAGGGCCUCAGAUUUUAGGGCAUCAAAAUCAUCCAGGGACACAUGCUCACAAAGGAAGGACCACGGCGCCCACAGGGAGGCAGCCGUGCAGGACAAACCAAACUGCCCAUACUUUGAUCUUAGAGGUCCAGCCUCAGAAAACUGUGAGAAAAUUAUAAAUUUAUGUUAAGCCACCAAAAAAAAAAAAAAAAAAUCAAAUCCAUAACAGUUUAAUGGGCCUCAUUCUAGAGAGUCUGAUUCAGUAGGUUUAUGGUGAAGCCCACGAUUUUCCAUUUCUUAUUUAUUUAUUUAAGACAGUCUCACUCUGUUGCCCUCGGUAGAGUGCUAUGGCGUCAUAGCUCACAGCAACCUGAAGCUCCUGGGUUUGUGUGAUCCUCUUGCCUCAGGCUCCUGAGUAGCUGGAACUACAGGUGCUGAUGAUAAUGCCCAGCUAGUUUUUCUAUUUUUAGUAGAGAUGGGAUCUCACUCUUGCUAGGGUGGUCUCAAACUCCUGAGCUCAAGCGAUCCACCCAAUUCAGCCUCCCAGGAGGCUGGGAUUAGAGGCCUGAACAACCGUGCCGACCCUGAAAUUUUCCAUUUCUAACAAUUUUCCAGACACUCCCUGUGCUGCUGUUCCCUGGACCACACUCUGAGACCCAGUGAUCUCUGGGAAGAGCAGGUGAGUCUAACAGACACUGUUAGAUAGUCUGUCAGAUAUUUCGUCCUUGGUGUCACGUAACCCUUAAUUCUUCUUCAGGUAAAACCCUCCUGGCCCUUUAACAGAUCCACAUAUGAGAAAUGACAAACUCUGCUGCCACUAGUUGGGCUGCAUACCUAGGAUACAAUAUUGACAGCCACAAAGAAGUCACUGCAAUUAUACACAAACAGUGAGGAACAUCGUGUACAGUUGCACUCCUCGGACCAAAGGGCAAGACCCAGGCCCAGGCUGAGACUGUGGGAAAGAACACUGUGAUAACAGCCUACAAGAGGAUACCGGUCUCUCUUUCACAUGUGACUUUGGGCAAGUCCUUAUCCCUCUCCAGCUCUCAGCUUUCCUAUCUGGUGCAUGAAAAUUGGCCAACGUCCUUCUAUUAAUGGGAAUUCUGAUAUUCUUUAGUAGGUGGGGAAAUCUCAAUAGACACCCUACCACCUCCCUCCUGGAGGCAUCUCGGGGACAUUUCCCACGUGCAGCCAUCCACAAGACCUGCCCCUUAUGUCCACAGUACAUGUAGUCCUGUUUUCUCCCAAGAGUUGCUUUGCAUUUACUGAGUUUGUGUUCUGGCGUGAUGUGCUACGUCAUUGGCUUACAUCAAUUAAUUUUCUCUCCUUUGCUCCAGAUAUGGAAGCAGAAUACUGUUUGGGGGCCCAAUGCCAAUCUCCUUUUCCUGCCUCCUGGCCCUGGGAGGUAAAUCCUCUGUGUUCCCGGACUUCUGUGGGGACCCACAGCUGGGCAGCCCCAGGGCCACCUGAGGUGGCUAAAGACUCUCCUUCCACCCUGAGGUCCAAGCCUCAGCCGCAAAGCAAAAGAUCCCUGGUUCCUGGCACAUGGCCUUUGAAAGUUAAACUGUCAUCCACCCCUUGGUCUGAUCAAGCAGCUCACCAGCCCUUGAGUUUAAAUAACAACCACAAAACAAACAGCGCUGAAGGCUCCCAGCAAGGUUUCUUUAGCCCAGGAGAAUGCUGCCUUCAGUUUCUGGGCAAUAUUGUGAAACAGGGUCAUUUCUUUUCCUGUGAAAAGCUGGUCAUGAUAUUUUCCAUAAGGAGAAUUAAUCUGGCAGGAGAGUAUGGACAAACAAGGCAGCGAGCUAUCUCCAAUUACUUCCGGAAGAAAGGGCAGGAAAUCUUCCUAAAUCGUCGGAUCCUGCCGUCGGACCACCACAGGGUUUUACCCUGGCCGUGCUGUUUUCUUGCUGGGAGCCCCUGGCCAGUUGCUGCAUCCCUCACAGCCUCUGGUUUUCCUAAGUGAGGAUGAUUAUACCUACUUGCCCAGAAGUGACGGUGAAGGGAGGUCAUAUACAUGAUUGUGUUCAACAUAUUGAUGUUAAUAUUAUCUACAUAGUUGUUCCAAAAUAUUAACUCAAUGGUUUAAUGUAUAAUAAGCCUUCAAUAAAUGUCAUGUGGUUAAGUCAGA